GGGAUUAUGCUCAUUUUUUUUAUCAAACUUCCUGAGUUCCUUGGGAAUGUUCAUAAUAAAAGAUAUUUCACUUCCUGUGUUCUUUGGAAAUUUUCACAAUACAAGAGGAACUAAUAAAUCUUAUGACACGCUUGAUCUCAGUAAAAGAAGAAUGUUCAGGUGUGCCAUUCGCUUUUGCAGAACCUCAGCUGCAGAUAGCAACCAUUUUCAAGCAUGUAGCAGCCUAGCAACCAGUAAAGCACCCAGCAGAAUUUCUUCUUAUUUACAAGUGUCCAUGUUGUGCUGGAAACUGACAGUCAUCGAUAAUGAACAUUCGAACAUGUCAAAGAAACCAUUUUGAGCAAUUUGGGGUUCUACACGAAUGGAAAGUACAAUGAGUCCUUGAACACUAUACCUGCAAAUUUAUUAAUGCAGUCUUCCAUUUUUCAAGUCCUACAUACAGCAGCGAAUGAUGAUAGCACUUAGGCCUAAUGGUGAUACUUCUGUCCUUUUAUUAUAGUCCAUGCCCUGCAAAAUUAAUGCAAUUGUCACUAGUGACCGGUCAUAGAUGAAAGCAGGUAUUUAAAUGGUAGUGUUACAUUGUGCCUUUCUC
rnacentral:misc_RNA from 1 species